UACGAAGGGGGGCUAGCGUUGCUCGGAAUUACUGGGCGUAAAGGGCGCGUAGGCGGAUGUCUAAGUUGGGGGGUGAAAUCCCGGGGCUCAACCUCGGAACAGCCUUCAAUACUGGAUAUCUUGAGUUCGGGAGAGGUGAGUGGAAUGCCGAGUGUAGAGGUGAAAUUCGUAGAUAUUCGGCGGAACACCAGUGGCGAAGGCGACUCACUGGCCCGAUACUGACGCUGAGGCGCGAAAGCGUGGGGAGCAAACAGGG
rnacentral:rRNA from 1 species